rnacentral:rRNA from 1 species
CCUACGGGGGGCAGCAGUGGGGGAUAUUGCACAAUGGGGGGAACCCUGAUGCAGCGACGCCGCGUGGGUGAAGAAGCGCCUCGGCGCGUAAAGCCCUGUCAGCAGGGAAGAAAAUGACGGUACCUGACUAAGAAGCCCCGGCUAACUACGUGCCAGCAGCCGCGGUAAUACGUAGGGGGCAAGCGUUAUCCGGAUUUACUGGGUGUAAAGGGAGCAUAGACGGCAGCGCAAGUCUGGAGUGAAAUGCCGGGGCCCAACCCCGGAACUGCUUUGGAAACUGUGCAGCUCGAGUGCAGGAAAGGUAAGCGGAAUUCCUAGUGUAGCGGUGAAAUGCGUAGAUAUUAGGAGGAACACCAGUGGCGAAGGCAGGUUACUGGGACGGUUCUGACACUAAGGCACGAAAGCGUAGGGAGCAAACGGGAUUAGAUACCCCAGUAGUC